GCCCUUGUAGCUCAAUUGGUAGAGCGUCGGCCUGCAGAGCUGAAGGUCGCUGGUUCAAACCCGGCCGAGGGUU
rnacentral:tRNA from 1 species